UUAAAUUGAAGAGUUUGAUCAUGGCUCAGAUUGAACGCUGGCGGCAGGCCUAACACAUGCAAGUCGAACGGUAACAGGAAACAGCUUGCUGUUUCGCUGACGAGUGGCGGACGGGUGAGUAAUGUCUGGGAAACUGCCUGAUGGAGGGGGAUAACUACUGGAAACGGUAGCUAAUACCGCAUAACGUCGCAAGACCAAAGAGGGGGACCUUCGGGCCUCUUGCCAUCGGAUGUGCCCAGAUGGGAUUAGCUAGUAGGUGGGGUAACGGCUC
rnacentral:rRNA from 1 species